AAGCAGUUUGCAGGAGAGGGGCAAGCACACAGGACUGCCCAGCACACUUGCCCACGAUGCACACUGCAGGGGCUGAGAACGUGUUGGGAAAAGCAAAGAAAUACUUGGCAGUGUCCCCAGGACUCUGGGGAUAUGAUUAACUGUUGAUCAGAGUUUCAUGGACUGAACACACAUACGCUUCCAGGGAACACACUGAACACACAUACGCUUCCAGUGUGACCUGCUCCGUGAGUGUGGCUUCAAAUUGUCUCCACCACAGGCCAACAAAUUUAGGACAAGCCUCCCUCCCCAUGCUGCAGUGGAGGAAACGGAAGCUUUAGGAAGAGAAGUGCCUUCUACAAGCUCCACGGCUGGAAAAUGGGCAAAGUCAGGACUCAAACCCUGGUGACUCCAGGGCCCCAGGCCUGGGAAAAAGACCCUGCACUUGAUGGAUCAGCUGGCACCAUUCGGAUCAAUAAACUGGCUCAUCUGAUCUUUUGACCCCCACCCAGGAACCCACUCAGCACAAGAAGGCAGCUUCUACUUCCGGUGAUUUCAUCGCUGACCAAUCAGCACUCCCGGCUCACUGGCUUCCCCCCACCCACCAAGUUGUCCUUAAAAACCCUGCUCCCCAAAUGCUCAGGGAGGCUAAUUUAAGUAGUAAUAAAAAUCCAAUCUCCUGCACAGCCGGCUGUGCGUGAAUUACUCUCUAUUGCAAUUCCCCUGUCUUGCUAAAUCUGCUCUGUCUAGGCAGCAGGCAAGGUGAGCCCCUUGGGGGGUUACGGUAGCUGUUUUCCUCUCUGGUA
rnacentral:lncRNA from 1 species